UACGUAGGAGGCAAGCGUUGUCCGGAAUCAUUGGGCGUAAAGAGCGCGUAGGCGGUCCGGUAAGUCCGCUGUGAAAGUCAAGGGCUCAACCCUUGAAUGCCGGUGGAUACUGUCGGGCUAGAGUCCGGAAGAGGCGAGUGGAAUUCCUGGUGUAGCGGUGAAAUGCGCAGAUAUCAGGAGGAACACCGAUGGCGAAGGCAGCUCGCUGGGACGGUACUGACGCUGAGGCGCGAAAGCGUGGGGAGCAAACAGG
rnacentral:rRNA from 1 species